AUUGAACGCUGGCGGAAUGCUUUACACAUGCAAGUCGAACGGCAGCACGGACUUCGGUCUGGUGGCGAGUGGCGAACGGGUGAGUAAUACAUCGGAACGUGCCCAAUCGUGGGGGAUAACGUAGCGAAAGCUACGCUAAUACCGCAUACGAUCUAAGGAUGAAAGCGGGGGAUCGCAAGACCUCGCGCGAUUGGAGCGGCCGAUGGCAGAUUAGGUAGUUGGUAGGGUAAAGGCCUACCAAGCCGACGAUCUGUAGCUGGUCUGAGAGGAUGAUCAGCCACACUGGGAGUGGGACACGGCCCAGACUCCUACGGGAGGCAGCAGUGGGGAAUUUUGGACAAUGGACGCAAGUCUGAUCCAGCCAUUCCGCGUGCAGGAUGAAGGCCCUCGGGUUGUAAACUGCUUUUGUACAGAACGAAAAGGCUCUGGUUAAUACCUAGGGCUCAUGACGGUACUGUAAGAAUAAGCACCGGCUAACUACGUGCCAGCCGCCGCGGUAA
rnacentral:rRNA from 1 species